GGGACAGGUGAGUCAUCGAAUCUUUGAACGCACAUUGCGCCCGCCAGUAUUCUGGCGGGCAUGCCUGUUCGAGCGUCAUUUCAACCCUCAAGCCCCCGGGCUUGGUGUUGGGGCUCGGCCCGUCCCUAGCGGCGCGCCGUCCCCGAAAUCUAGUGGCGGUCACGCUGUACUCCUCUGCGUAGUAAUCUAACCUCGCAACGGGACAAAGCGCGGCCACGCCGUUAAACCCCCAACUUCUGAAGGUUGACCUCGGAUCAGGUAGGAAUACCCGCUGAACUUAAGCAUAUCAAUAAGCGGAGG
rnacentral:misc_RNA from 1 species